GCCCUAGAAGCUACCUUCUCAGCAGUUAAUCUUGUAAAUUAAAAGAGGAAGACUAGAACUCUUCCUAGGGC
rnacentral:tRNA from 1 species